rnacentral:rRNA from 1 species
GACGAACGCUGGCGGCGUGCUUUACACAUGCAAGUCGAACGGGAUCAGCCUUUUGGGGUUGGUUUAGUGGCGAACGGGUGAGUAACACGUGGGUAACCUGCCCUUGGCUUUGGGAUAAGCCCUGGAAACGGGUCGUAAGUACCGAAUAUGACCUGUCACUGCAUGGUGGUGGGUGGAAAGAUUUUUUGGCCAGGGAUGGGCCUGCGGCCUAUCAGUUUGGUGGUGGGUGAUGGCCUACCAAGGCGACGACGGGUAGCCGGCC